AGAAAUUCGGUUUUAAUUUAAUAAGGAAAUAAGUUUUAACCCAUGAUUCAUGCAGCUUAUAUAAAGCUAAAAGUAAUACAUGUACCUUCACAGAUGUUUGAUUACCCCAUCAUGGAUAAGAACUUUCUACUGAUAAUAAUUGUUCUCCUUUUGAACACAAAAGAUGCAAUCGGACGAUGUUACUACGAAAAUGGAACAAAUGCAUUUGGUUUCUACUAUGAAUAUAAACAUUGGUAGCAUUCGAAGACUAGUAGUGAGUCUAGUUCUACCGGUACCAAUCCAGGAGUAAUUAUAGGUGUUGUA